AGGCAAGGCAAGGCAAGGCAAGGCAAGGCAAGGCAAGGCAAGGCAAGGCAAGGCAAGGAAAGGAAAGGAAAGGAAAGGAAAGGAAAGGAAAAUAUGAACUUAUUGCCGUUCACAAAAGUCUCUGUGGAGGAAGAGGAGAAACCUGAGCCUUGUUAUUUGGUAGCUGGGGUGCAGCCAGGGGAAAUGCAUUCAUUCAGACAGUGGACGGCAAAGCAGAGUGAGAGUCCACUACCCUUAAAUGUUGAUGAAACAGGGUGAGAAAUCUUCUCUUGGAACAAUGGUCUUUAGACAUUCAGCUGACCAUCAAGACGGUCCGUCAGAGGUUGAAUUUUCAUUCAAUAGACUGGUGAACCUCGGCUUCUUCAGCUCGAACUUUUCCUCAGUUGCCCUCCCCCGCACCACUACUCCCAGGUCAAUCUUCCUGGGGAGACAGCUCCUCCACAGACAGAUGGUUAAACUGCAGGUGACACCUGCAGUGGUGUGGAAUUGCACAUAGGCUAUUUCUAAAUCAUCGAACACAGGCAUUCUCACAAUAUAGCACAGUCACCUGGAGAACUUGUUGCAUCACAUUGCCGGGGCCCACCUACAGAGUUUCCAAUUCAAUAGGUCUGGGACCCACGGCAAGGCCAGAUAAAUCAUCAGCAGGACAAGUCCUGGAUGCAGCUGCUGAUGUUGCUAGGGACCACACUUUGAGAACACAGAUCUAGGCCAUUACGUCAGUUUACAAAAGAGUAACUGAGGCCCAGACAGAUCUCAGAGUUUAAAGACUGCAUUAGAAGGCAAUUACCCACCACCCCUUCACUGCUUACCUUGUGCAAAGCCUAGCUUAAUCCUCAGUUCCUGCAGGGCAAGUCUGACGUUGGUUCAAUUUUAAUUGUCUGAGAGCUGAGCUUCUCUAAUCUCAGCGAAAGUUCUUGCAUAUUUAGAAACAGGUCUGCCCGAAGGCAGGAGGAUAGACCACCUAACUUUGAGGCUUUUAAGGCUAUGACAAUAUUACAUUAAUAAAAUAAUUUAUUUUACAAAUGAAAUGUUAAUGUGUUAGGUCCAUAAUCUUACAACCUGUAGGUGGCAGUGCCUUCCUUCUCUAUACACAGCUACAUGCCUGGUUUCAUUUCCUGAGUAGCUGAGAAGGCUGCAGUGCAUACAGUAUUCGAUACUGUGCCAUCUACUCCCCGCCCAGGAAAGCCCCUCCAGGGACAGCCGAAUCGGAUAACUGGAGUUUGCAUUCUGAGAACUGUAUUGUUCCGAAUUAACACGUGAGGUUUUAAAAUUUUUUUCUUGUUUAACUAGUUACAUUUUUAUCCUUUGCAUGAGGUUCUAAGACUUAACAUCUGUGGAAAGCCAGAAAACAGAGACGUAGAGAAGUAUUGAAAUGCUGAAAUACUAUGAAUUUACCAUAAGAGGACAUUCUUCACUGAAGAGAUCUCUAGCUGCCAAAACACCCUUUCAUGGGUGAAAGAUGUGGGCAAGGAGGAAGGAAAAGAGAAGAGUAAGAUUCUAGGAACCACAUUGUAGAAAUGCCAAAGGGAGGGACAAACAAGGACCCAGGAGUGCAAGUCUCAAAGGCAACUCUGGGCAGCCCUACCUGGUUUCCUGUUCCCUCUGAAAAGAUAUAUUUAUAAGAUAAAUGAGAAACAAGAAGACAAACAAACCAGAUCUCUGGGGAAUAGAAGCCACUCUGCAAAGUCUUCACAAUGGAGCUAAUAUUUGAUCCGCAUUUUGGAGGAGAAAUAGAAAUUUGCUCAAUGGACUGAAGUGUGGGCAGGAGAAAAAGAGAAUCCUUGGCAGAAACACCAUGACAUGGAAUGGUGAAAAACAAAACAACAUACAAAGAGAUUAAGGAACUGCAGAAAUACUUCUAAACCCGGAAUGUAGGGUAGAAAAAAGGAAGACUCAAGAUAUGGUUCCAAAUUCCUUAGACUGUGGCUGUAUCAUGAAGAGCCUUAGAUGGCAAAGUAAAAAGUGUGAAUUUUAUAUUUUAUGACCCUUAAAGUGCCUAGGAAAAUAUUAACACAUAUGAGUUAUCCAUAUAAUCUUUCUCUCACUGAAAUUAUAAGUAUAUAGAGCUUGUAUUAGGAGGCUCUGAACUGGUGUCUGUAACUUUAUGAAGAGCUUACUGUUUUAACCACCGGAGCAUUUUAGCACUUUUCUUGACCUAUUAUUACAUAGUUUUUGUUGCCUUUCAUCUUUUCAGAGAACAAUUCUGCCAUUUCUUUUAGAGUUUGAGCAUUUUCCUACCUGCACAAAGGGAAGAUGAGGUAAUCCACGUAACUGCUUUUUCUGUUUGAACAUAAUGCCAGAGACACCAACAUCUGAAAUAACUCCUUUUCCUGAUUUCUUGUGCAUCCAAACAGGUAUGGGCUGUAAUGACUUUGGAAGAUCCAAAUAGCUAUCACCCUGGCUGGAGAGAGGGUGGUUUCCAAGCAAGGGCCUGUGCUCUGGCCUCCCUCUCUGCAGCUCUGCAAUGUGAGCCUCAGCAUCCCCUGUGCUACUCACUAGAAAGUGGACCUGACAGCUUUGACAGGUACAGCCUUGGGCUACAAAACCCUUCAGGCUGAGGUUGAAAAUAAGGGCUCCCCGUUCCAGAGGCUAUUGCUUGUUGCCCCCUCAGAAGUGGUGAAUCACACAAUCUACUUCUGUUUUCAACACACCACAGAAAACUUCUUGCCUUUCUUCACCUUGAGUUGGUUAUCAACAUGAAAAUCAGACAGAUCUUUCUAAUGUGUGUUCCCUGUAACACCAGUUCCAAGGGAUGUGAAUCCAAUCAAAUUUCUGCAGUCAAAUAGGGCAGGACCAAGUUUAGACUUCUCAGAGUCCUUAACAUUAUAAGAUACUUUCUAAAUCUCCAAGAAGAAUGGUGUUUUGAAAAUUGCUUUGAUUACAGAAGACUUUUCUUCCUGAUCCAAAAUUGAGAGUACUAAGUGUUCCAUGCAACAGGUUUGGAACUUGAUGCUCAGUGUUAUUAUAGGCAUACAGUAACAUGCAUAUUACAGUAUAUAAAUAAGUACUAUUUACUUAGAUGCAUGAGAAUAAACUAUUGCACCGAUAUGCAUUUUCUGGAUAACCGAACAUGAGCUCUCUUGAAUACCAGACUGUGCAUUAGUGUUACGUAUGUGGUGGGAUAACAUUUGGAUAACAUUUUGAAAUAACUCCUUUUCUUGAUGUUUUGUGCAUCCAUUUUUCCUUUCCCAGAGUUUUUUCUUCCCUGCAUUUCUCUUUCUUCCUUUCCCCAUUCCAAGCAGGGUCAGCCUUCUUUGGUUCAUUGUCUCAGAGGAAGAAGGUGACAGGGUGGAAGACCAAAGUAGCCUACACGUCUGUCUGGCUUUUGUGUUCCUCAAACCUAGGCGUUUAGAACAACACAGAGAAUUCACCGAGUGGGUAAAUGAAAGGGGAUACAGAAACAUGAAAAAAGAAGGGUAAUCGCCCAGAUUACAAAUAGUGGCACUGCUGGGCAGAGAGAGGAAAUAGGAGGGAGCAAAGGGAAGGCAGGGAGCAAAAACAGGGAAGCCGAGGACAGAGGUCAAGGACGAGGACAAAAAGACAUGGUGAGGCUGGAAGGGAAACAGGCAUUGAGUGUGCACCCAGUCUGGCUAUAAAGAAAGAUCUUUGCCCUCUAGGACCAGGUCAGAGCAGCAGUGAGCCAAAGCUGGGGUUGGGGAGCUGGCCAGCUGCAGAGAGCUCACUACUAACCUGGCUGUGCACGUGGCCCAGGACCCGGUGACCUGAUCUCCACUUACCCCAGUGUUUUGACAUUAUCGACCCUUUCUUGGAAUCUUUGAUGGAACCUUAGAAUAGGUGGGAGGAUACUAUAAAAGCUUGAGAUUUGAAUUCCUAAUCAACUCAAUGAGAUAGGAGCCCCCAAUAGAAAUGACUGGGAAUGAAAGAAAGUUAAAUUUCUCGCAAAUCUUGCUUUUGUAAAGGAUCAUGCAAUCUCUUCCAUGGUUGGGGCUGUCUCACAGCCAUGUGCUCAGGGUCUGCUGAGGAGUGAGCACCUUUGCAGCCAUGCCAAUGUUGCAGGCUCCAGUGAUUUUGCAGUUUUUAUGUCUGCUUUUUAUGUAGCUUUCCUGUCAUAAGCCCGAAUUUCAUUUCUUGAUACUUAUCACAGGUAUACAUAGCUCUCAUUCUCUCCCUUUCCUCUCCAGAUUUGCUCCUUUCAAUGUGCUUUGGCCAGGAAACCAGAUAACAAAGCUUCUGAGAAUGAUGUAUAAAGGGAGAGGAAAUCGGUUCUGAGGGCUGGCUUGUUUUCCUCAUCUACAAAAUGACCGAGCUGUAAUAGAUCAUCACCAAGGUCCAGUUCAGCUUGCACAUUUUAUGACUCCUCUGAAUAAAGUAUGUGAGCUUUUAUGUGCCGUUUUCAGGACAUCUAUUUUUCCCAUUUCCUUAU